UGGAAUGAUGACUUCUUUUAGACUAGAGUCUCUGAGAAAAUCAUGAAGUUCUUUCACAGUGCACUGACCA